rnacentral:rRNA from 1 species
AUUGAACGCUGGCGGCAGGCCUAACACAUGCAAGUCGAGCGGAUGAAGGGAGCUUGCUCCUGGAUUCAGCGGCGGACGGGUGAGUAAUGCCUAGGAAUCUGCCUGGUAGUGGGGGAUAACGUCCGGAAACGGGCGCUAAUACCGCAUACGUCCUGAGGGAGAAAGUGGGGGAUCUUCGGACCUCACGCUAUCAGAUGAGCCUAGGUCGGAUUAGCUAGUUGGUGGGGUAAAGGCCUACCAAGGCGACGAUCCGUAACUGGUCUGAGAGGAUGAUCAGUCACACUGGAACUGAGACACGGUCCAGACGCCUACGGGAGGCAGCAGUGGGGAAUAUUGGACAAUGGGCGAAAGCCUGCUCCAGCCAUGCCGCGUGUGUGAAGAAGGUCUUCGGAUUGUACAGCACUUUAAGUUGGGAGGAAGGGAAGUAAGUUAAUACCUAGCUGUUUUGACGUUACCAACAGAAUAAGCACCGGCUAACUUCGUG